ACUGACAUUCUUGUCAACCCCUAUUUACUGAUAGCUGCAUUGCAUCAGCUGGGAUUUCUUCACUCUAUCAGCUAUUUUCCAGAUGGACUUACCCAGGCUGGGAUGUGCCUUUUGUCCUUUACCAGUGAGCCAAGCCUCAGCCCGGAGCUGCUUCUCCCGUGCUUGGAUACAGCAGUGGCAGGUGGGGAGCAUAACAGAACUGGGCUGGUCCCAAAAGGAAGCACUGAAAUGAGAUUUGUACCCUGAGCAGCCCUGCCACAACGUUCCUACUGAAUGCUCCUUCUGUGUGAAUGGGUUACGCAAACAUUCAAAAUGUCAUCUUGUGAACGUGCAUUUUCUUAGAGCAGUGUGCCUCAGACAUGUUCCACUAGAAGCUAAACUGCUCUCAUGUUCUGCUCUCAUAGACUUCUUGAAGAUGGUUGUCUGGUAUACCAUCAUAAGGAAAUGUCAUGGCAUAUAAAGUAGAGUACUUUCUAAC
rnacentral:lncRNA from 7 species